rnacentral:sRNA from 2 species
UGUAUUUCCGUAAGGGGAAGGAUGAGAAGCUUCGACUAAGGUUCGAUUCGAGCGCAGCGAGAAAGCGUUGCCGCAGGCAACGACCCGAAGGGCGAGGCGCAGCCGCCACCCGGCGACA